AACGAACGCUGGCGGCAGGCUUAACACAUGCAAGUCGAACGCCCCGCAAGGGGAGUGGCAGACGGGUGAGUAACGCGUGGGAAUCUACCUAGAACUACGGAACAACUGAGGGAAACUUCAGCUAAUACCGUAUACGCCCUACGGGGGAAAGAUUUAUCGGUUUUAGAUGAGCCCGCGUAAGAUUAGCUAGUUGGUGGGGUAAUGGCCUACCAAGGCGACGAUCUUUAGCUGGUCUGAGAGGAUGAUCAGCCACACUGGGACUGAGACACGGCCCAGACUCCUACGGGAGGCAGCAGUGGGGAAUAUUGGACAAUGGGCGCAAGCCUGAUCCAGCCAUGCCGCGUGAGUGAUGAAGGCCUUAGGGUUGUAAAGCUCUUUCAGUAGG
rnacentral:rRNA from 1 species